AUGGUCAUAGGCUACCCAUACACUCCCCAGAUGCAAGCUAUACAUCGGCCAUACACUACACAUACACAAGCUAGAGAAUGGCCUUUGUCUGGCGAGUCGGAUGCUGCCCGGAGAAUGUCUCUGCGUCGCUCCGCUUGGUCCCAUGCUUCUCACUUCGCGCCGGGCCUCACGCUCUGCCGACGACUUCCGUUCCUCGCCGCUCAACUGCUGCGCCUUGCCAUGAGGCCCAGCGCCCUUCCUCCUUCAGCCACUUUCACCAGCGCGGCAGCGUCUCACGCCUCCACGCCCGCACCGAUUCUGCUCCAGCCAGCUGCCGGCUUCCCGCGCUGGCUCUUCCCGCAUCGGAUCCUCCGCGCCCGACCUCCCGUUGCCUGCUCCGCCGGUAUCCGGCGCUCCUGCGCCUCGUCUCAACCCCGGCCGCGCGCCCACAACGCUCUGUCUUCAGCUGGCCGGCUUCGAGCGCGCCAGCUCCGCCCGUGCGUCCCGCGCCGGGUCGCCUCGCCCUGCAUCCGGCCUCCUCCCGCGUCGCCCCGCGGCCGGCCGCUCCGUCUGCGCCGGCCCACCACCGCCCCGCUGCUGCCCAUCGCCGGCCCCGCGGUGCGUCCGGCUUCGCCUGCGCCUGGACGCCGGGUCGCCGCGCCGGCUCCUCUGGCCGGCUCCCCGUCCCGCGCCGGCCGGGUUGCCGCUGCCUCCUCCCGCGCCGGGCCCCAUCCGCACCGGCUCCCGCCUGCCGGCUUGCUCUCCAGCCGGCUACCGCCUCGCGCCAUCCGGCUCCGCCCGCUAACCCGGACAGCCGGCUCCGUCCGCGACCCGGCCGGUCCUGCUCCAGGCGUCUCCGCGACCCGGCUGGUCCUGCUCAACUGCUGCGGCCGAGUGCCCGUUCAAAAAAAGAGAACCCGGCUGCUGUGUAAAAAAAGAAGAAAGAAAGAGAACAGAGAGAAGAAAACUCAAGCCAGCAGCUAA
rnacentral:rRNA from 1 species